UACGUAGGGUGCAAGCGUUGUCCGGAAUUACUGGGCGUAAAGAGCUCGUAGGUGGUUUGUCGCGUUGUUCGUGAAAACCGGGGGCUUAACCCUCGGCGUGCGGGCGAUACGGGCAGACUUGAGUACUGCAGGGGAGACUGGAAUUCCUGGUGUAGCGGUGGAAUGCGCAGAUAUCAGGAGGAACACCGGUGGCGAAGGCGGGUCUCUGGACAGUUCCUGACACUGAGGCACGAAGGCCAGGGGAGCAAACGGG
rnacentral:rRNA from 1 species